UGAGGAAUCUUGCGCAAUGGGGGAAACCCUGACGCAGCAACGCCGCGUGAGUGAGGAAGGUCUUCGGGUCGUAAAGCUCUGUCAGAUGGAAAGAAAUGCAUGGGGGUUAAUAGCUUCCAUGCUUGACGGUACCAUCAGAGGAAGCACCGGCUAACUCCGUGCCAGCAGCCGCGGUAAUACGGGGGGUGCAAGCGUUGUUCGGAAUCAUUGGGCGUAAAGAGCGUGUAGGCGGCUUGACAAGUCAGAUGUGAAAGCCCUGGGCUUAACCCAGGAAGUGCAUUUGAAACUGUCAGGCUUGAGUAGGGGAGAGGGAAGUGGAAUUCCUGGUGUAGAGGUGAAAUUCGUAGAUAUCAGGAGGAACACCGGUGGCGAAGGCGACUUCCUGGCCCUAUACUGACGCUGAGACGCGAGAGCGUGGGUAGCAAACAGG
rnacentral:rRNA from 1 species